CCCUGGUAGUCCACGCCCUAAACGAUGCUAACUGGUCAUUUAACACUUGAGUUAAGUGACUGAGGGAAACCAUUAAGUUAGCCACCUGGGGAGUACGUUCGCAAGAAUGAAACUCAAAGGAAUUGACGGGGGCCCGCACAAGCGGUGGAGCAUGUGGUUUAAUUCGAUGAUACGCGAGGAACCUUACCAGGGCUUAAAUGUAAAUUGACAGGUUUAGAGAUAGGCUUUUCUUCGGACAAUUUACAAGGUGCUGCAUGGUUGUCGUCAGCUCGUGCCGUGAGGUGUCAGGUUAAGUCCUAUAACGAGCGCAACCCCUGUCGUUAGUUGCCAGCAAGUUAAGUUGGGCACUCUAGCGAGACUGCCAGUGCAAACUGUGAGGAAGGUGGGGAUGACGUCAAAUCAUCACGGCCCUUACGUCCUGGGCCACACACGUGCUACAAUGGUAGGUACAAAGGGCAGCUACUUGGCGACAAGAUGCUAAUCUCUAAAACCUAUCUCAGUUCGGAUUGGAGUCUGAAACUCGACUCUAUGAAGCUGGAAUCGCUAGUAAUCGGAUAUCAGCCAUGAUCCGGUGAAUACGUUCCCGGGCCUUGUACACACCGCCCGUCAAGCCAUGGAAGCUGGGAGUGCCUGAAGUCGGUCACCGCAAGGAGCCGCCUAGGGUAAAACUGGUAACUAGGGCUAAGUCGUAACAAGGUAGCCGUACCGGAAGGUGCGGCUG
rnacentral:rRNA from 1 species